rnacentral:tRNA from 1 species
GGGGAUAUAGCUCAGUUAGGAGAGUGCUUGCCCAGUAUGCAUAAAGUCCUGGGUUCGAUCCCUUGUACUGCA